rnacentral:lncRNA from 1 species
AUGUCCCCAGUGCCACCAAUGGCAGCCAUGACAUCAAUGUCCCCAGUGGCACCAAUGUCCCCAGUGUCCCCAGUGCCACCAAUGUCCCCAGUGCCACCAAUGGCAGCCAUGACAUCAAUGGCCCUGAUGGCACCAGUGGCACCAAUGGAACUGAUGGUCUCAGUGGCACCGAUGUCCCCGGUGUCCCCAAUGGCACCGAUGUCCCCAGUGUCCCCAGUGAUCCCAAUGCCCCCAAUGGCACCAACAUCCCCAGUGUCCCCAAUGUCACCAAUGUCCCCAGUGUCACUGGAGGCAUCAAUUUCACCCAUGACACCAAUGUCACCAAUGGCCCCAAUGACACCAGUGGUCCCAGUGUCCCCAGUGUCCCCAGUGCCACCAAUGGCAGCCAUGACAUCAAUGUCCCCAGUGUCACCAAUGUCCCCAGUGUCCCCAGUGAUCCCAGUGUCCCCAGUGCCACCAAUGGCAGCCAUGACAUCAAUGUCCCCAGUGUCCCCCAUGACACCAAUGUCCCCANNNNNNNNNNNNNNNNNNNNNNNNNNNNNNNNNNNNNNNNNNNNNNNNNNNNNNNNNNNNNNNNNNNNNNNNNNNNNUGUCCCCAGUGAUCCCAGUGUCCCCAGUGACACCAAUGGCACCAGUGUCCUCAGUGUCCCCAGUGAUCCCAGUGUCCCCAAUGUCACCAAUGUCCCCAGUGUCACUGGAGGCAUCAAUUUCACCCAUGACACCAAUGUCACCAAUGGCCCCAAUGACACCAGUGGUCCCAGUGUCCCCAGUGUCACCAAUGUCCCCAGUGUCCCCAGUGCCACCAAUGGCAGCCAUGACAUCAAUGUCCCCAGUGUCCCCAGUGACACCAAUGUCCCCAGUGAUCCCAGUGUCCCCAGUGACACCAAUGGCACCAGUGUCCUCAGUGUCCCCAGUGAUCCCAGUGUCCCCAAUGUCACCAAUGUCCCCAGUGUCACUGGAGGCAUCAAUUUCACUCAUGACACCAAUGUCACCAAUGGCCCCAAUGACACCAGUGAUCCCAGUGUCCCCAGUGUCACCAAUGUCCCCAAUGUCCCCAGUGAUCUCAGUGGCCCUAAUGGCACCGAUGGCACUGAUGGCACCAAUGACACCACUGACACCAAUGUCCCCAGUGUCCCCAGUGUCCCCAGUGACACCAAUGCCACUGGUGGCAUCAAUUACACCAAUGUCCCCAAUGGCCCCAAUGUCACCAAUGUCACCAAUGUUACCAAUGUCCCCAGUGUCACCAAUGGCUCCUCUGUCACCAAUCUCCCCAGUGUCACCGAAGUCCCCAAUGUCCCCAGUGGCCCCAAUGGCCCCAAUGUCCCCAGUGUCCCCAGUGACCCCAGUGACCCCAGUGACAAUAAAGGCACUGAUGGCACCAAUGGCUCCAGUGUCCCCAAUGUCCCCAAUGGCCCCAAUGUCACCAAUGGCUCCUCUGUCACCAAUCUCCGCAGUGUCACCAAAGUCCCCAAUGUCCCCAGUGACACCAAUGCUACUGGUGGCAUCAGUGACACCAAUCUCCCCGUUGUGACCAAUGUCCCCAGUGUCCCCAUGUCCCCAGUGUCACCAGUGGCUCCACUGUCACCAAUCUCCCCAGUGUCACCAAUGGCCCCAGUGUCACCAUUGUCCCCAGUGACACCAAUGUCCCCAAAGUCACCAAUGUCCCCAGUGGCACCAAUGUCCCCAAUGUCACCAAAUGUCCCGAUUGCACCAGAGUCACCAGUGACCCCAAUGGCACCAAUGUCACCAAUGUCAUCAAUGUCCCGAUGGCACCAAAGUCAUCAGUGUCACCAAUGUCACCAAUGUCCCAAUGGCCCCAAUGUCACCAAAGUCACCACUGUCACCAAAGUCCCCAAUGUCACCAAUGUCACCAAUGUCACCAAAUGUCCCGAUCGCAUCAGAGUCACCAGUGACCCUAAUGGCACCAAAGUCACCAAAGUCACCAAUGUCCCAAUGACCCCAAUGUCACCAAAGUCACCAAUGUCACCAAAUGUCCCGAUGACACCAAUGUCACCAAUGUCCCAAUGUCACCAAUGCCACCAAUGUCCCCAAAGUCACCAAUGUCACCAAAUGUCCCGAUGACCCCAAUGUCCCCAAAGUCACCAAUGUCACCAAAUGUCCCGAUGGCAUCAAUGUCACCAGUGCCACCAAUGCCACCCAUGCCACCAACGCCCCACGGACGCCGACGCCAGCGGUGCGACUCACCUCGCUUGGGAAACGUCAGAGCAGAGCUGGCUGCAACGGACGAAGAGGGGCUGGGGUCCUGAAUGAGCGCUUGGCCUCGGUUCUGUGGGGCAGAGGAGCCGAUCUAUGGGGCAGAGCUCCGUUCUAUGGGGCAGAGGAGCCGAUCUAUGGGGCAGAACUCCGUUCUAUGGGGCAAUGGGGCCGAUCUAUGGGGUAGAACUUCAUUCUAUGGGGCAGAGGGGCCGAUCUAUAGGGCAGAGCAUCAUUCUAUGGGGCAAUGGGGCCGAUCUAUGGGGUAGAACUUCAUUCUAUGGGGCAGAGGGGCCGAUCUAUAGGGCAGAGCAUCAUUCUAUGGGGCAAUGGGGCCGAUCUAUGGGGUAGAACUUCAUUCUAUGGGGCAAUGGGGCCGAUCUAUGGGGUAGAACUCCAUUCUAUGGGGCAAUGGGGCCAAUCUAUGGGGCAGAGCUCCAUUCUACGGGGCAGAGGAGCCGAUCUAUAGGGCAGAGCUCCAUUCUAUGGGGCAGAGGAGCCGAUCUAUGGGGCAGAACUCCGUUCUAUGGGGCAAUGGGGCCGAUCUAUGGGGUAGAACUUCAUUCUAUGGGGCAAUGGGGCCGAUCUAUGGGGUAGAACUUCAUUCUAUGGGGCAAUGGGGCCGAUCUGUGGGGCAGACCUCCAUUCUAUGGGGCAAUGGGGCCGAUCUAUGGGGUAGAGCUCCGUUCUAUGGGGCAGAGGAGCCAAUCUAUGGGGUAGAAUUCCAUUCUAUGGGGCAGAAAGGCCAAUCUAUGGGGUAGAGCUCUGUUCUAUGAGGCAGAGUAGCUGAUCUAUGGGGUAGAACUCCAUUCUAUGGGGCAGCAGGGCCAAUCUAUGGGGCAGAGAUCCAAUGUAUGGGGCAGCGGGG